CAUCCCUUUUAUUACGUUUUUAGAGAAAAAAACAACUGAUGUUGAUCACAUACAUUACUUCAUCUUUAUUAUAAGGUAAAAAGAAUAACAGUAUAACAUUAAAACAGGCCACACAAACACAGACAAAGACAGCAGCAGCAUGGCAGUGUGAGUGAGUUAUGGUGUGAGCUGUUUAAGAAUUUAUUACAGAACAAUAUUUGCUCUGCAGCUGAAGCAUUGUGCUUUAAAACAGCUGAAUUUUGCUCAGUGGAAAAUACAUCAGAGCAAAUACAUUGUCAAAGGCCAAGUACUUUAAACUAUAAAACAACUGCAUCAAACUAACAUGUAUCAGUACAUACUCAUACAGUAAUAUUGGUAGUAGAAUCACUCUAUCCCCUGAGCAACUGCAAAUACCAAUACGUUUUAUCAUCUUUCAACAAGUAGCCUUGAACAACUGAUUGAAAAUUAUAGAAACUAUAGAUUAGCUUUUCUAAAAAUCAAUACAGUGCAACAAUGAUUCAUUUAUUCCACCCUUUUAAAUAAAAUAAAAAUCAACAUUCAAAAUUAAUCCACAUUCAAUUCAUAAUUGCUUACAACUACUAUUUAGAGGUUUUUUUUGUUUUGUUUUUUUUUUUUGUAUUCAUUCUACUUUUAUGACUUUAUCUAUUUCAGGGUUGAAUCUAAAGCCAAUCACAGCAGUUGAUGGCCGAGGGCUGGGUACACACUGAACAGGUCAUCAAAUCACAGUGCCACACAGAGACAACCCUCCACCCUGACAUUCAUACCUAUGGUCACAGUGGAGAGUUCAUUCACUAUUACAUUCUGUAAAUUAUGUUUUUGGAUUGGUUCCCUUGGAAAAACACAGGAACAUGGCAACUCCCUACAGAAACACCAGGGUGUCGGAGCUGCAAACCAGUGACCUUCUUGCUGUAAGGCAAGCGUUUUGACCACAUCUACUAUAGAUAAAAGAUAGAACUUAAAUGCCAUCAUUUUACACCAGAAAAUAUACUAUUCUAAACCACCGGCCAGUAACCAGAGCCAACACUGUGCAUACACCACGUAAGCAGUCGCUGAGGGCGCCAUCUGUUGGAGGGAGAAAUGUUAAAAGUGGUUCCCAACCAGUACUAGGUUGUGGAUUAUUUGGCCCUUAGCCACAUAGUAUUUUUUUUACAUUUACAUUGUAAGGCAGACGUGAUAACUGCUACAGUACAGAACCAAGAACCACAAAGUGAAGUGAACAUUAAAAAUAUAUUAAUUUAUAUAAAUAAGUACAGAUGUAUUUAUAUAUGAUGCACUUUAUAUAUGUUUUGUUAUACACGUGACAUUUACCCUAACACACAAGAACUGCCUAGUCCAGUGAUUCCCAACCACUUGAAGAACAACAUUUUUUUCUUCAAUUCCUGCGAGUAUAUUAGUGGUGUCUUCAACUAAACAGGUGGAGAUUCUAGUCAAUUGUGAGUAAAUUUAAACAAAACGACUGAUAUUUCAUUACAUAUACAUUUUGAGAGGCUUGUUUGCUGGUGUGCUCUGAGGUUUUACCUGAUGAAAAAUAAGUACCGUGGCUCGAAAAAUGUUGGGAAACACUGGCCUAGUCCAUAGAAAAGUGUCAUUCAUAAAACCAGAGCAUGGUGCUAAAAGUGUUGGCGACCAGGAGCGAUAGGGGGCGCCAAACUACAAUCUGGCCUUGGGUGCAAAAUUGGCUGCACCCUAGGUUCUUGCACAUUCAUGCAAGAAUGAGAAUUUCCUCAAACUGAGUCAGUGAGUGAAGUUCUCCUACAGUGGCGUCGGCACCAAGAAUAAUUUCACUCAAAGUCCUGUAGACAAAGCAUCGGCAAACCAUCAAAUGGUGCCAAAUAUGAGAAAAGAAAGAAAAUGUUGCUGCAGUUCUUCGCCUUCCCAGUUUAAAGGCCUUCAGUUCUCUGAGCUAUUAUCUCUAACAUAGUCCCCUGAUAUAUCAUCAUUCCUUCUAAAGUUCAGACUUGAAUGAACUUCUGAGGCAGGGACUACUCCACAAGGCCCUGUAGUAAGUAAUUCCUGGUAACAUCAUUUUUUUUUUCCUCCCCAAACAUUUCUCUGUGUAUUCUCUGAGAAUGCGGUCCGUCAGGUCUCCUCAGAAAUGAGACACAGCUCUGCGUCCCUGCUAGGUACAAAGAUCAAAUAAAAAAACAAAUAAAAAAAUCACCAGCACAGUACUGUACAGUACACACUGGGAGGAGAAGAGAGAAACCGGUUUUAUCUAAGUUAUAUGUACUGACAUACUAGGAUGAAACCUCACACGAAGAGCUCACUCAUAGAGUUUUGAUUUGUUUUUUUGUUUGUUUGUUUUUCAUUUUUAACACGUCAAAAUCUCUUUAGCAGCUACAUAGGUGAUGUAAUACUAACUAAUGAAUAUUCUUGAAAGCAGUAAAUCCAUCUUGACAGCCACUUCUUUGUGUGUCAUAACAAGGAUCAGGAUGCAAAAUGAGGAUUGCUUGCAGCUGAUGGUCUACUGAGAAUCGAAAUUAAAAUAAUUGGAUUCUAAAUCUUGGUGGGAAUGCCUUCUCAGUUAGUUUCAAGGCAGCAACCAGCGGUACCUGAGCUGUAUAUUAGAACAAAGAAGGCAAGGGUUUAAAUGAAGCUGAGUAUGACGAGGCAAAUGUCACACCACAUCACCUGCUUGUUAAUGAGGAUUAAAUGAGGCUAAAUUUCAGGAAAUGUAACCAGCAUUGCUAUGCAGUUUUAAAAAUAGUAUGUUGUGUUUUUUACUGUGUUGCCUCAUACAUAUUUUAUUAGAACUGUUGCUGUUGGAGUUCAAAGCUUCAUAUGUAUUUUGUGUCUGAAAAUCGGUGGUUUUUAGGCAAAAUGCCCUGAAACUUGACAGGAAUUGACUCUUUGGCCCAGUGCAAAGGCAGCCAAGAGGGUUGCUGCCAAAUGCCAGUCUGAAAGGCCAUUUCAGUGUUUCCAAGGUGUCCAAGUCCAAAUCUCAUAAACCAACCUUGACCUCUGAUAUUUAUAGGUUUCCAGGGUAAAAUUCCUCCUCUUGACUUCGCUCUCUCGGCUUCAGCCUUGUUGACACACAAACGUGUGGAGUCAAACAGUGCUGCAUAUCUUUUCUUUUAAUCUAAUUUUGCCUCUCUGUUGGUUGAUUCUUCACCUUAAACAGUGUUUCAUGACAAACUGAAGCAUAAACACUAGUUAUAUUUGAUGCCAGAAAACUUCUGUGCCUAUAAGAAAAGUAUUGUGAAAAUGAGGUGACCGUCUGUCACCUGAGAUUGUUCAGCAUGUCUGACAGUAGUUUGUACACAAGAGGUCCCCAACUACAGGGUCCUGGAUUGGUACUGAACUGUGGGUCAUUGACAGUGUUGUCAGAUAUAGGCAUCAUAUCAAUAUCAUAUCAGUGGCCCAAAAUGAUCAUUUCUUUUGAAAUAAAAUAUUGUUAACACCCUAUUUUAAUUCUAAAGUGGCAUAUAAGUUAUGUUUAUUAUUGCUAAUAUCGCUUACUCUACAUCUUACUUGUUGGUGAACUAUAAGGAUGCAGUAUGUGCAAGUAAUAGCAAUAUCCUGUUGUGCUAAUGAACGAAUCUAGCCAAACAGCAAACAGGUAAAAUUGGUGUACAUUAUAUGACAAUAACAAAAUAAUUUGUUAAUAAUAAUAAUAAAUAAUUUGUUGGCGUACAAAUACGAUAAUUACCGUAUAUCUGGCAACACUGAACUUUUUAUUGGCUAAAUAUGGACGCAAGAUGGUUUUAUUUUGAAAGGUUUCCGGAUGUUUUCCAAAUUAUACGAAUGCUUGUCAGAGUAAAAGUCUUUAAAUUGAUUUUUCUAAGAGGGCCUGAAACAUGGCGGAAGACUGGCUUUUUCUUAUCAAAAUAAAAGUAGAUUUAAUUUCCUGUCUUCAGUAGCGUAAAGAUUCAUCGCCACAGGUGGUCGUGGUGAGUUUAACUUCAAUAGUGGUCGUUAUUAGCGAAUCAUUUUAUUUUGUCCUAUUUUUUUUCCGCAUUUAACGACCAAUCCGUGGAGCAAAAAUGUUGGGGAUCUCUGCUCUACACAGGUUCUGUGGCUCGACGGUUGUGGUUAAGCAGACGUUGUUGCUUCUACAAAGAGCCAUCAACUAUCCACUGAGAAGAGAGAACGUGUGUGUGUUCAGUGAGGAGGGGAGUCUUCAGGUGUUUUAGGAAAUUGUGUCGUAACGGAACAUGGAGCAGAAAUAUUCUGGUUAAUGUUCAUCCACAGCGCCUGCUCUAGUUAAGCUUUCCCUGUUCAGCCAUGCAAAGUCCUGCCGGAUGUCAACUGUCCCAGAAAGGCAAACAGGCUCGGGACCUUUCUCUUCCCCUCCAGACGGUGCACACACACACACACACACACACACAUCCCUGGCACAACUAGAGUCCUCUCACCCUCUGCUGCACACCCCACCCCUCUCGCCUCUGGACAACUGCUCUGACUCAAAUGGAUUAAGGAUGACUCUCGACUCUCACUCUCUUUUUUUUUUUUCACCCGCACUCUUGACUUCUCUUUUCUUUCCAUGCCGGAUGAAAUGCCUCCCAGACACCCACUCCAUGCGCAUACCAUUCAGCUCGGGACACACAGGAAGUCUAUGUGCUUUGCAGCGAGGAGGAGGAGGAGGAGGAGGAGGAGGAAGGCACAGAGCGGGGUGGGAAGUGGUGGUGGAAAUGAGGAGGAGGGCUGGUGGCGCAGAGGGGGCUCUGAGCACAGAGAGAGUGAAGGGGUGGAAGAAGUGCUAAAUGCAAGUCAUGUGAAACUCAUGAGAAGUAACCUACAAAAAGCUGGAAUCUUGUUUUCCUUCCACUAAGUCAUUACUGUUAUCCUUUUGUCUCAACACACUCCUUUGUGCUGGACAUUUCAGAGCAGAAGCCUCACCAUGUGACUUACAAACCCCAACUGAUUGAAGCAGCAAAUCCCAUUUGCACGCCCCUCACUGUAAGUGUGUUACCUUGAGAUCACACUUACUUGGUUGAACUGUUUGGUUGUUUUGUUUUUUUCCCCCCUUAUAAACUUUAGGUGCAACAAGCCGGACUUCUUUUGUAAUUUGUCAGAUUUGUUUUUUUUUGUAGAAGAGGCGCCAUGUCGCUUGGCUACAAGAUUAGCUUCAGCUCAAAUUUGCUAUGGAACUGUGGAUAAUUGGAUCACGUGGACUGGAGGCACAUUUGUUACUUUUACAGUGAAUGUCACUCCAGUGCUCUCUCUCUCUCUCUCUCUCUCUCUCUCUGUGUGUGUGUGUGUGUGUGUGUGGUGAGGGGGCUUUGACUGCAGUCCCUGCUCACAGGGCACGGCGUCACGUCGCAUGCUUUGAAUUACUGUGCAUUUGCGGCUGGUAGACAGGCUGUUGCCAACUGUCUCUUAGCAGAUCAGACAACCAGCAUCAGCAGUGUGGGUUCUGCCACGAGUCCUACUUUAUUCCCACUCACUGGCUUUUUCCUAACACACUUUUCCUGUGUUCAUUUCACCACUGCUCCCGCCUUUUUAUCCACACACGAAAAUACUAUUUUCUCUGUACUUGAAAUCAUUCUCCCAGAUAUGUAUAAUUAUUUUAAAAAAACAAAACAAAAAAAAGGCUUCUUUUCUUUCCUAAUUUUGACACUUUAACACCCACGCACAUUCCUAAAAGCUCACAUGUUAGCCUUCACACAGACAUGCCAGUGUUUGCACAGGUCACUGGGUAGCUAAUCUUCUCAGCUCCGCUGACUGAAAUGAGACCUUUGUAAACUCUUUUUAAAAAGUACAAAUGGAGGCAGGUGACUAAUCAGACCACCAGAUUUGUUUCUUUAAACUCCAUCCUGUCCCUGCUGCCGGCAGGACACUGCCAAGUCCAACACAGAGAAGAUGAAAAGGAGUUUUAUUCCCCCUCAAGUCAUUCGUCUGCUUAAAUCCUAUUAUAGUCAACCAACUGGUCUUACCACAAUGAUUCCACAUCCAUGCAGUUAUCUUUGCUGUAAUACACAGUUUGUAAAACUUUUUUAUUUCACUGAAGCACCUCAAGCUUCAAAUACCAUGUCAACCACCAAUCACGUGUUUACGAAGGCUUCGACUUCAGGUCACAAUGACAGCUUGCGUUAGACAAGGGCAGUAAUUAGCCCUACGACUGACGCAAUUACCAAAUGGAUGACGAAGGACUGUGGACUGAUUAAUAUCGUUGUGGACAAUCACACGUUGCUUUGAAGUUUUGAAAACGACUCUGCAUGUGUUUUACGUACCACCACCAACACGCACGCCUAUGAUUUAGGUCAAACAACUCUAUGAAGCUACAUUUUAAGACAUUUUUACCGUAUUAAUAAUUCCAUCAUUUGAAUGAGUGAAAAACACUUACGUUUACUUCCUGUUAUUUGUCUUUCUGUUUCAGCAGUAUACAUGAGAAGAAGCUACUAUUUAUCUAGAUUAAUCGUAAUUAAUCACAUUUACCCUGAUUAAUUGGGAUUAAUACAA